rnacentral:rRNA from 1 species
UACGGGGGGGGUAAGCGUUGUUCGGAAUUACUGGGCGUAAAGGGCUCGUAGGUGGCCAACUAAGUCAGACGUGAAAUCCCUCGGCUUAACCGGGGAACUGCGUCUGAUACUGGAUGGCUUGAGUUCGGGAGAGGGAUGCGGAAUUCCAGGUGUAGCGGUGAAAUGCGUAGAUAUCUGGAGGAACACCGGUGGCGAAGGCGGCAUCCUGGACCGAUACUGACGCUGAGGAGCGAAAGCCAGGGGAGCAAACGGG